GAGCCCUGGUUUGAAAGGGGUACUUCAGGAUUUAGUCAAUGAUGCCCUUUAUCUACUUCCCCAGAGUCAGAUGAACUAGUGGACACCAUAUUUAUGUCUAAUGCGUGCAGUUUGAAGGAAGUUGCUAACAUAAUGACUAGAAGUCUAUGGAUAUCUGCUAGCAUGCUAGUAGGUGUAAUGACUAGAAGUAUGUGGAUAUCUGCUAGCAUGCUAGUAGGUGUAAUGACUAGAAGUCUAUGGAUAUCUGCUAGCAUGCUAGUAGGUGUAAUGACUAGAAGUCUAUGGAUAUCUUCUAGCAUGCUCGUAGGUGUAAUGACUAGAAGUCUAUGGAUAUCUGCUAGCAUGCUAGUAGGUGUAAUGACUAGAAGUAUGUGGAUAUCUGCUAGCAUGCUAGUAGGUGUAAUGACUAGAAGUCUAUGGAUAUCUGCUAGCAUGCUAGUAGGUGUAAUGACUAGAAGUCUAUGGAUAUCUGCUAGCAUGCUCGUAGGUGUAAUGACUAGAAGUCUAUGGAUAUCUGCUAGCAUGCUAGUAGAUGUAAUGACUAGAAGUCUAUGGAUAUCUGCUAGCAUGCUAGUAGGUGAAAUGACUAGAAGUCUAUGGAUAUCUGCUAGCAUGCUUGUUAUAUAAUAUUAAUAUUGCCAAUUUCACAUACAAUGAUGUCAAAUUUGGUUUAUUCCAAGAUGAUAAUGAAUUCAAUUUCCUGGUCAAUAAUUGUAUUGUUGAAAUUCUUUAUACACAAAUGCAGAUUUUUGAAGGCUACUAUACCUUAUUUAUUUUUUGAAAGAGAGCUUUAUCUUUUUUAUUUUGCAAUCAUUAAGAUUAGUUUUUUUUUUAAACAUGCCCUGAAACUCACUACUACAUUUGAAGCAUACAUGAUAUGCCUCAUUUAAUGUAUAUAAGACCUGUUUGUAAAAGUUUAUUUUUCUUAACUUGUGUGCUUGGUUGUGUAUAAUUCAACUUCCGUUAUGUUUGUACAAUUAGAAAAGUAUUUUAUAUAACAAAAAGUGAAUUCUCAAUAAAUGCCAAUCUGCCAUUCUG